GGCAAGCGUUGUCCGGAAUUAUUGGGCGUAAAGCGCGCGCAGGCGGUUUCUUAAGUCUGAUGUGAAAGCCCCCGGCUCAACCGGGGAGGGUCAUUGGAAACUGGGAAACUUGAGUGCAGAAGAGGAGAGUGGAAUUCCACGUGUAGCGGUGAAAUGCGUAGAGAUGUGGAGGAACACCAGUGGCGAAGGCGACUCUCUGGUCUGUAACUGACGCUGAGGCGCGAAAGCGUGGGGAGCGAACAGGAUUAGAUACCCUGUAGUCCACGCCGUAAACGAUGAGUGCUAAGUGUUAGAGGGUUUCCGCCCUUUAGUGCUGCAGCUAACGCAUUUAGCACUCCGCCUGGGGAGUACGGUCGCAAGACUGAAACUCAAAGGAAUUGACGGGGGCCCGCACAAGCGGUGGAGCAUGUGGUUUAAUUCGAAGCAACGCGAAGAACCUUACCAGGUCUUGACAUCCUUUGCCACUUCUAGAGAUAGAAGGUUCCCCUUCGGGGGACAAAGU
rnacentral:rRNA from 1 species